rnacentral:lncRNA from 1 species
CUGAGCUGGCCUUGAUGUGCUUCCUUAUUUGCUCUUCAGGUGUAUGUGGCUGCCAAAAGGGGAGGCUCCCCUGAAGACACACUGACAGGCGCCUUGUGUCCUCUGUACCCUGGCUGCCUAGGGCUGACCUUAUGUGGCCCACCUCAUUGGUCCUGCUGUGCCGACUGGAGCACCAUCAGGAGGGUGCAGGCAGGGCCAGGCCAUGACUGCUCCUUGACCCCAGCCAGGCUCCUGAGGCCUAGAAAGAGCAGAAGCUCCAAGGGGCUCUCAGGGCCCACUGUGGAUUGGCCCUGCCCUCCCUCUCCCUUGGCAAGGUACCAGGAAGCUAGAGCUUUGUUAUCUGGGUAAUUAGCUUCAGACCCUGGACUGAGUCCAGCCAGGUCUUAGGGCUACGUCCCACAAUAGGUGUACCCUGAUCUCAAAAGGGAAGUGAGGUGCUGCCUGUCUAGAGACCCUGCUAUCUGAGCAACCAAGGGGCCAGGCCUGCGUGGGACCAGCUGUGGUAUCCUUACACGCCCUUCCUUCUUGGGCUGUGCCCCUCAGGGCUGCCUGGGCCUGAUCACAGCCUCGCCAGGGGCCAAGGGCACAAGCCUCAGGAAGGGAAUGCCCUCAGAGGUGUCAGUCCAGCCAGCUGCUCUGCCACUCAAGCCUGGUCUGACCCCCAUCCCCUGCACUGUGGUACCCCAAGCAGCCCUGUGGGUAGACACCCCCGACCAUGGCUGAGCACCUGGAACUACUGGCAGAGAUGCCCAUGGUGGGCAAGAUGAGCACCCAGGAGCGGCUGAAGCAUGCCCAGAAGCGGCGUGCCCAGCAGGUGAAGAUCUGGGCCCAGGCUGAGAAGGAGGCCCAGGCCAAAAAAGGCAAGUGGAGGCAGCUGCAGAAGGAGGCAGCUGGCCGAGGGCCCCCGAAGCAAGUUGUCUUCCCUCCCAGCGUUGUCCUUCUGGAAGCUGCUGCCCGAAAUGACCUGGAAGAAGGUGAGUGCACUUGUCCCAGGGUGGUACACAAUGGCACUCCCAUCCAUGUGGGCGUGGCCUCAUCGUGUGUUGGGCUCUGGGCUGGGCCUGUGCCCGUCCAGCACUCUUGGGCUUUAGCCACAGGGCAACCAGGGUCUCUGGUUAGGACAACCCCCACUGAGACAGCUCUUCUUCAGCAGAGGCCUCAUGCAAAAGGUCCUGCUGUGAGGCAGGCCAGUUGAGAGAGUACCAGGCUGCAGGGGGCGCCCAUCAGGGCCUGCAGAAGCAUCCAGUGUGUGGGGCUGAGCAGGCUGACAACUCUCACCGCCUCUUGUAAGGAUGCUAGGCUGUGGGUGAGCGCCCUGGCCUCUGCCAGCUGUUCCCUGAGUCCCACCUCUGCAGAGGAGGGUGCUCAUACUUACCUCCAGUUGCAAGAGUCGGGCAAGCUGACCCGGAGCCCACACGGCUGACCCUCUCGCCGCUGCCGUCAGUGUUCCCUUUGACUCCUUCCUUACCAUUGGAGCCUUCCCAGCCUGAUGCCAGCCUGACCUUUCUGCAAGCCCCUCUUCCUCUCCAUGCCUCGUAUUUGUGACCCUCUGAGUACAAGGCUCUGGAGUCUGGGGAGGAGACCUCUUGAUUUUUCUUAAGGGCUCUUCCUGUGUCUUUUGGGGGCAGAGGUGAGGAGGAGUGGGCAGUGACAGUGCAGGAGCCCUCCUGAGACCUGGAGGCUGAGAGGGGACCUGUGGAGAAGGGUGCCAUGUGUGCCACAGGCCUGACCACAAGGAGCCGUGUCUUACUGCUGCAUGGCCAGAGAGGACCCCAGGGACCUUGGCGAUAGCGUGGUCUGAGAUAGGAUUUCUGAAGGGGAGCAAGGGCAGGGACAGGCACUGGUUGAGGGGCUGGGCUCAACAUCAGGAAGAUCAGAGGAGUGUAAGCCCCUACGCUGGGAGCUGAGGGUGGAAUCACCGGCAAGCGGUCUCACAGGAGGGCCGGUUCUGCGGUCUUAGGGGUUGGGUGUCAUGAUAGGAGAGGGGCUGGUGCUGCUGUGUGUGCGGCCUAUUUGGGGCAGACAGACACCCCAGGCUCCUUGAGUCUGCAUGCUUCCUGCCAUCUACACCAGUCUUCUUCUCCCUUCCCUGAUCCCUGGGCAUCAGCAUCAUGGGCCCAGGUGGCCUUGGGCCAGGGAUGGCGUAGGCCAGUCAAGGCCUCACCCAGACGUCACCACCCCCUUCUUACAGUCCGCCAGCUCCUCAGGAGUGGAGUCAGCCCCGACCUGGCCAAUGAGGAUGGGCUGACAGCAC